ensembl:lncRNA
CGGCUCGGUGUGCGGCUGAGAGCGGGGGUCGGCCCCGCGGGGAUGCGGGGGGCACCUGCCUGGGCAAGGAGCGGCUGGAACCAGGUGCCGUGACCGCUGGGAUGCUGAUGGGAACCUGCCUGACCUUCCUCUAGGUCUUUCUCAGGAAGGAUGUGGAUGCUGAGGAUGAGAAGCAUGAGGCUGGCAGCCCCCGCUCCGCUGGUUUCUGCUCACCCAUGGACAGAGGUUCCCCUUUUGGUAUGCUGGCGGGAGCCCCCCCAGCAGCACCCCACAGGGAGAGCCCCAGGAGCAAGGAGCUGGUGGCAGCAAGAAGCAGUGGGCAGAUUGCUGUGGGACCCCCAUUCGUGCCCGAGCCGAGCCCCCCACUGGCCCAAUUCAACCGGGAGGUGCUGCAGGUGAGCCUGGCAGGGUGUGGGUUGGGGCCGGCUGCCCUCCAUGCGGGCGGUGGGGAGGGAAGAGCUGCGCAGCAGCCUCGAGCGGAGCCAUUGUUGCGGCGUGAGAUCAUGCUUGGCCGCCUCCGCCUGGCUGUCAGCCCCGGGAGAGGGGGUCAGCCCGCAGCGGGCCCUGCUUCCUCCCCACGUGUGCGGGCGCCUUCCCGCCUUCCUCCUCAUCUGUUCCCUCCCCAGCAGCAUGGGAAUGGGCAGCAGGGAGGAAGUGGGGGCGAGGAGCUGCUCCCGUUGGGACGGAGCAGGCAGGGAAGGCGGCUCCUUGCCAUCCUGCCCCGUUGUGCCAGGGUGGGUUGAGUCCAUGUGCUCUGUUAGAGGCAUCCACACACACACGGCUCUUCCUGUGCUGCAGGCAGAAGGCUGGGUGCGAGGCAAACUGCGGGACCUGAAGGAUGGCUGUGACCUCCAGGACUGGGUACAGGCAGCUCAGACCCUGCAGAGAGAGAUGAAGGACUUUGAGAACACGUUGAUAAAGCUCAACCAGAUGGGUGAGCAGCUGAUGUGUGGGCCGAGUCCCGGCACUGAUGCAGUACGGAGGCAGCUGCUGGCCCUGCAGGAACAGUGGCAGCUCCUGAAACAGACAGCUGCCAACCAGAGCCGGGCCCUGGGCGGGCUGCGCAGCCUGCAGGACUUCGGCAGAAAGGCAGAGCGGCUGGAGGCCUGGAUACGGAGCAAGGAGGAGAAGCCCUCCCUGGCAGCCCUCCUGCAGGAGAGCCCGGACAAGAUUCAGCUCACCCGCCGCAUCCUCGACUUGAAGCAGGAGGAGCAGCAGUUCCAGAGCCUGCAUGAGGAGCUUAAUAGCCUAGCCCAGAAGCUAGAGAAACAAGGCAAAAGUGAGAGCAGGAGCAUCUCUACCCGGCGCAAGCACCUCAAUAAGAUGUGGCUGCGGCUGCAGGGGACCUUGAAGGAGCACCACGAGGCUCUGCAGAUGGCCCUGGAUGUUGCUGCCUUCCUGCAGCAAGCGGAUGCCCUGCUGGAUGCAAUCCAUGCCAAGUGGAGGAGUGUCUGCAGUGUGGGGAAGCAAGGGGAAGCUGAGAUAGGCCGGGAUCAGGAUGUCAGGGACAUAGCCAGCCAAGUGAUGAUGCUGGAUGUGACUGUGUCCCAGUUGCUCAGCCUGCAGCCCAGCCUGGCAGCUCGUGUCACUGCCAAGCACCGAGAUGUGAAAGAGAACUGGGCCCAGCUCCAGCGGGCACUGAGGAAUGAGAAGGCUCUGGCACUGGCUCCAGCAAGUAGUUUCCCAGGGAGUGAAGCUGUGGCUGUGAUCACUGAGCCUUGUGGACGUGUUAGUGUCCAGGAGUCAGAGGGGAAAAACACAGGAGACAGACAGAAGAGAGGUCCUGGUGUCACGGUGCAGAAGGACAUGGCGAGGAAGAUGGUGGAGCACGUGCAAGGCGAAAGGAGCAGCCCCAGACCUGCAGCAGCAGGAGGGGACAGCAAGAGGAAGAAGAGAAUCCCUGCAGAGGCAGAAGCAGAGCAGGGCACACGGCCAAUGGCAGCCCAGGUGCAGGAUGCCUGCCAGGUAGGGCAAUGCUGGAUCACAGCUCCAGCACUGGGGCUGAGCCCCAUCUGGCACGGGGCAGCAGGGGGUCACUGGACAGGGCUGUCCUGACCGCUGUUUCCCCUCCAGGAGGGGCAGGAGGCAGUGG